rnacentral:rRNA from 1 species
UACGAAGGGGGCUAGCGUUGCUCGGAAUUACUGGGCGUAAAGCGCACGUAGGCGGCUUUCUAAGUCGGGGGUGAAAUCCUGGAGCUCAACUCCAGAACUGCCUUUGAUACUGGCGAUCUUGAGUUCGAGAGAGGUGAGUGGAACUGCGAGUGUAGAGGUGAAAUUCGUAGAUAUUCGCAAGAACACCAGUGGCGAAGGCGGCUCACUGGCCCGGUACUGACGCUGAGGUGCGAAAGCGUGGGGAGCAAACAGG